GCCUAACACAUGCAAGUCGAGCGGCAGCAUGCUUAGUAGCAAUACUAAGUGAUGGCGAGCGGCGGACGGGUGAGGAACACGUAGGAACCUGCCCAAGAGAGGGGGACAACCAAUGGAAACGUUGGCUAAUACCGCAUAAUCUCUUAGGAGAAAAGUUGCCCGUAAGGGUAGCGCUUUUGGAGGGGCCUGCGUCCGAUUAGCUAGUUGGUGAGGUAAUGGCUCACCAAGGCUGUGAUCGGUAACUGGUCUGAGAGGACGACCAGUCACACUGGGACUGAGACACGGCCCAGACUCCUACGGGAGGCAGCAGUGGGGAAUCUUGGACAAUGGGUGCAACCCUGAUCCAGCGAUGCCGCGUGGGUGAAGAAGGCCUUCGGGUUGUAAAGCCCUUUAGGCUGGGACGAAGGGUAUGGGACGAAUAAUCCUGUACUUUGACGGUACCAGCAGAAUAAGCACCGGCAAACUCUGUGCCAGCCGCCGCGGUAAGAC
rnacentral:rRNA from 1 species